GACGAACGCUGGCGGCAUGCCUAACACAUGCAAGUCGAGCGAGCUGAUUCCUUCGGGAUGAAGCUAGCGGUGGACGGGUGAGUAACACGUGGGCAACCUGCCUCAUAGAGGGGAAUAGCCUUCCGAAAGGAAGAUUAAUACCGCAUAAGAUUGCAUCUUCGCAUGAAGAAGCAAUUAAAGGAGCAAUCCGCUAUGAGAUGGGCCCGCGGCGCAUUAGCUAGUUGGUGAGGUAACGGCUCACCAAGGCGACGAUGCGUAGCCGACCUGAGAGGGUGAUCGGCCACAUUGGGACUGAGACACGGCCCAGACUCCUACGGGAGGCAGCAGUGGGGAAUAUUGCACAAUGGGGGAAACCCUGAUGCAGCAAUGCCGCGUGAGUGAUGACGGCCUUCGGGUUGUAAAGCUCUGUCUUCGGGGACGAUAAUGACGGUACCCGAGGAGGAAGCCACGGCUAACUACGUGCCAGCAGCCGCCGUAA
rnacentral:rRNA from 1 species